rnacentral:rRNA from 1 species
UACAGAGGUCUCAAGCGUUGUUCGGAUUCAUUGGGCGUAAAGGGUGCGUAGGUGGCGCUGUAAGUCGGGUGUGAAAUUUCGGAGCUUAACUCCGAAACUGCAUUCGAUACUGCGGUGCUUGAGGACUGGAGAGGAGACUGGAAUUCAUGGUGUAGCAGUGAAAUGCGUAGAGAUCAUGAGGAAGACCAGUGGCGAAGGCGGGUCUCUGGGCAUUUCCUGACGCUGAGGCGCGAAAGCGUGGGGAGCAAACGGG